CACUCACACUGUAAACCUUUUUCCUUCUUUCUUACAGGUACAGGGUACAUAGAUACCUCUUAUGGGUGGGAAAUCCUUGUUACCCUUACUGUUCUUCUUGCUGCAUUGAGCAUCAUCGCAACAGCUUUGCUUCUGUGGAAAAGAAAGGUGUUGUGCCCUAGAAGGAGCCAGCUAAAUAUCCUGAGACAGAAGGUGGAAACUCAGCUCCCUUCAGCCAGCCCACCACCACCACCUCCUGUCUAUGAUAGCCUGGACGUGCGGCAAAUUGAUAUCUAUUCUGUCCUCGAGAACAAUACAAAGAACCCUUCACUCAAAAAAAAUCCUCCAAGAAAGACACCUCAGAAGCAAGCAACUCUAGAAGAAUCCUCUGAUACACUGUAUGAGAAUAUCUAACGGGGAAAGAUAUCUGACCCAGUGUGGACCAGACAUCUUUCUGUGUGGCAGAGCU
rnacentral:lncRNA from 1 species